rnacentral:rRNA from 1 species
UGCGUAACGCGUAUGCAACCCGCCCCCAUCAGGGGAAUAGCCCGCCGAAAGGCGGAUUAAUGCCCCAUAGGCCCAGGGCGCCGCAUGGCGCUAUGGGUAAAGCUCCGGCGGAUGGGGAUGGGCAUGCGUGCCAUUAGCUAGUUGGGGCGGUAACGGCGCACCAAGGCGACGAUGGCUAGGGGGUCUGAGAGGAUGGUCCCCCACACUGGUACUGAGACACGGACCAGACUCCUACGGGAGGCAGCAGUGAGGAAUAUUGGUCAAUGGGCGGAAGCCUGAACCAGCCCAUGCCGCGUGCAGGAUGACGGCCCCACGGGUUGUAAACUGCUUUUCCCCGGGAAGAAUAAGCCCCUCGUGAGGGGUGAUGCCGGUACCGGGGGAAUAAGGAUCGGCUAACUCCGUGCCAGCCGCAGC